rnacentral:rRNA from 1 species
UAGGGAAUCUUCGGCAAUGGACGAAAGUCUGACCGAGCAACGCCGCGUGAGUGAAGAAGGUUUUCGGAUCGUAAAACUCUGUUGUUAGAGAAGAACAAGGACGUUAGUAACUGAACGUCCCCUGACGGUAUCUAACCAGAAAGCUACGGCUAACUACGUGCCAGCAGCCGCGGUAAUACGUAGGUGGCAAGCGUUGUCCGGAUUUAUUGGGCGUAAAGCGAGCGCAGGCGGUUUCUUAAGUCUGAUGUGAAAGCCCCCGGCUCAACCGGGGAGGGUCAUUGGAAACUGGGAGACUUGAGUGCAGAAGAGGAGAGUGGAAUUCCAUGUGUAGCGGUGAAAUGCGUAGAUAUAUGGAGGAACACCAGUGGCGAAGGCGGCUCUCUGGUCUGUAACUGACGCUGAGGAUCGAAAGCGUGGGGAGCAAACAGG